rnacentral:rRNA from 1 species
GCAAGUCGAGCGGUAACAUUUCUAGCUUGCUAGAAGAUGACGAGCGGCGGACGGGUGAGUAAUGCCUGGGAAUAUACCAUAAGGUGGGGGACAACAGUUGGAAACGACUGCUAAUACCGCAUGAUGUCUACGGACCAAAGAGGGCCUCUUCUUGAAAGCUCUUGCCUUUUGAUUAGCCCAGGUGGGAUUAGCUAGUUGGUGAGGUAAAGGCUCACCAAGGCGACGAUCUCUAGCUGGUUUGAGAGGAUGAUC